UACCAGCACCCCGAGUGGUCGGGACGUUUAUUGGGCCUAAAGCAUCCGUGGCCGGUUCUACAAGUCUUCCGUUAAAUCCAACUGCUUAACAGGUGGGCCGCGGAAGAUACUAUAGAGCUAGGAGGCGGGAGAGGCAAGCGGUACUCGAUGGGUAGGGGUAAAAUCCGUUGAUCCAUUGAAGACCACCAGUGGCGAAGGCGGCUUGCCAGAACGCGCUCGACGGUGAGGGAUGAAAGCUGGGGGAGCAAACCGG
rnacentral:rRNA from 1 species